rnacentral:rRNA from 1 species
AUUGAACGCUGGCGGCAUGCCUAACACAUGCAAGUCGAACGGCAGCACAGUAUGUAGCAAUACAUAUGGGUGGCGAGUGGCGGACGGGUGCGUAAUAUGUAGGGAUCUGCCCUGAAGCGGGGGACAACCCGGGGAAACCCGGGCUAAUACCGCAUAAUACUCUACGGAGGAAAUCUGGCACGCAAGUGCUGGGGCUUUAGGAUGAACCUACAUCCGAUUAGCUAGUUGGUGAGGUAAUAGCUCACCAAGGCAAUGAUCGGUAGCUGGUCUGGUAGCAUGACCAGCCACACUGGGACUGAGACACGGCCCAGACUCCUACGGGAGGCAGCAGUGGGGAAUAUUGGACAAUGGGGGAAACCCUGAUCCAGCAAUGCCGCGUGGGUGAAGAAGGCCUUCGGGUUGUAAAGCCCUUUAGGCGGGGAAGAAGGUUAUAGGGUGAUAAGCCUUAUAGCUUGACGGUACCCGCAGAAUAAGCACCGGCUAACUCUGUGCCAGCCGCCGCCGUAA